rnacentral:rRNA from 1 species
AUUGAACGCUGGCGGCAGGCCUAACACAUGCAAGUCGAGCGCGUGGCGGACGGGUGAGUAAUGUCUGGGAAACUGCCUGAUAGAGGGGGAUAACUACUGGAACCGGUAGCUAAUACCGCAUACCAUCAGAUGAACCCAUAUGGGAUUAGCUUGUUGGUGGGGUAAAGGCUCACAAAGGCGACGAUCCCUAGCUGGUCUGAGAGGAUGACCAGCCACACUGGAACUGAGACACGGCCCCGACUCCUACGGGAGGCAGCAGUGGGGAAUAUUGCACAAUGGGCGCAAGCCUGAUGCAGCCAUGCCGCGUGUAUGAAGAAGGCCUUAGGGUUGUAAAGUACUUUCAGCGGGGAGGCGUUACCCGCAGAAGAAGCACCGGCUAACUCCGUGCCAGCAGCCGCGGUAAUAC